rnacentral:rRNA from 1 species
AGCUUUUGACAUGUCCGGUAUGAUUUCCAGAGAUGGAUUUCUUCAGUUCGGCUGGCCGGAACACAGGUGCUGCAUGGCUGUCGUCAGCUCGUGUCGUGAGAUGUUGGGUUAAGUCCCGCAACGAGCGCAACCCUCGCCCUUAGUUGCCAUCAUUCAGUUGGGCACUCUAAGGGGACUGCCGGUGAUAAGCCGCGAGGAAGGUGGGGAUGACGUCAAGUCCUCAUGGCCCUUACAGG